rnacentral:rRNA from 1 species
CCUACGGGAGGCAGCAGUGAGGAAUAUUGGUCAAUGGACGAGAGUCUGAACCAGCCAAGUAGCGUGAAGGAUGACUGCCCUAUGGGUUGUAAACUUCUUUUAUAAAGGAAUAAAACGAGGCACGUGUGCCUUUUUGCAUGUACUUUAUGAAUAAGGAUCGGCUAACUCCGUGCCAGCAGCCGCGGUAAUACGGAGGAUCCGAGCGUUAUCCGGAUUUAUUGGGUUUAAAGGGAGCGUAGUUGGGUUGUUAAUUAAGUUGUGAAAUUUUGCGGUCCAACGGUAAAAUUGCAACUGAUACUGGUGGUCAUGAGAUGAGUGGGGGUAGGCGGAAUGUGGGGGGUAGCGGUGAAAUGUUUAGAUAUCACGAAGAACCCCGAUUGCGAAGGCAGUUUACAAAACUGUGACUGACAUUGAGGCUCGAAGGUGUGGGUAUCAAACAGGAUUAGAUACCCGGGUAGUC